rnacentral:rRNA from 1 species
UACGGAGGGUGCAAGCGUUAUCCGGAUCCACUGGGUUUAAAGGGUGCGUAGGUGGCUUUGUAAGUCAGUGGUGAAAUCUUAGAGCUUAACUCUAAAACUGCCAUUGAUACUGCUUAGCUUGAAUCAAGUAGAGGUGGAUGGAAUAUUACAUGUAGCGGUGAAAUGCUUAGAUAUGUAAUAGAACACCGAUUGCAAAGGCAGUUCACUAUGCUUGUAUUGACACUGAGGCACGAAAGCGUGGGGAUCAAACAGG